GCUAAAUGAACUGCUAGUUUGCACCCUUGGAAAGUGGAGCGAGUUUCACGGUGCUGGAAGAGCGACAAUAAAUGUCAUUGCACCCGUUU